GAACAGAUGGUUCUGUGGGAGCUUGGAGCAGGGCAUGGAGGCUGGUUCUGAUAAGUAAGGUACCCAGGGAGGGUGCGGCAUUGCUGAGAAGAGAUCGAAGCCAGGACUUGCAAGAAGACUCAUCAGCUUGAAAAUGAAAUCCCAAGAUUUUAAACAUUGAGCACAAUAAGGAGGGCACAGAUAAACUCUAUGAUAAGAGGUCUGGGAGAUGUGAGAUGAACUGCAAUUACACAGUCAAGUCUAGCCUGGAUGGUGGGAGUAUCCCAGAAGGAUUUAUCUAUAAAAGACUAUGGAUACUGAUCUACUUGUCAAUACAACCUCUCAAUGAGAAUGGCCUGGAAAUCUGAGAGAUCCAAAUUGAAAGCUCUCAGGAGGACAUCCAAGUCACCGAGGUUGGCGGCCUGGAAGAGCUCUGGCUGGUCCAUCAGCGACAGGGCAAUCCUGAGGGCAGCCCAGAUGUUCCCGGAGAUGGCAGGUUCACACAGAAUCCCAUGGAUGCUGAGUCUCCAUGCAUCUUGCCUGAACCCAGGCAUACCUCACCUGUAGGCACCCAGGUUGAUGCAGCUGAUCCCCAGGUUGUAUCUGGAGCGGAUGAAACCUGGCUGGAUCUCCAGUGCUCUCGUGUAGGCCUCUACAGCUUCCUCACUGCGGUCUCCAUUUGCCAAGGUUGCCCCAAGACGGUUCCAUAUGCAUAGAAGGAUUCCACAUCGUGAGGACAACCUGUCAACUGGGGAUUUAGACAUCCGCCGUGUGAGGCCUGGAGAGCCUUUCUUGUUCUUCACAAGCCCUGCUAAGCCUGAUCAUGAUCAAAUACUGACAAGUAUGGAGAAAACAUCUCAAAGACGCAGGUUCCAUCAGUCUGUGGAAAAGAAGAGCCCACCAAGGGAACCUUGCGAUGUUGAUCUGACUCCCAUCAUCCAGCCGUUUGAGAGAUGAGGCUAAGGGCAGGAGUGGGAGAAAUGUCUGCAUUUCUACUUAUUAUUUGCAUCUGUCUAUGGUGACAUGAAGGAAAUGUCCUCCAGAGAAUCUAGUCCAAACAUUUCUCUGAAUAAAUGUUGAACCUGGAGCAUCUACAGAAUUGAUCUUGUGACAUGUUCCUUGAGAUUAAUUUUGCUGAAAUCUGUUAUCUUGAAUGCAUACCCAAAUGAAAGAAAAACGGAAGAGUUUUCCCUGUAAUUGACUGAAGAGUUACAGGGAAAGUUCUGGAAAGAGCAUCAGGAAAGUGAUGGAGACUCUGAAGCACUGCAGGCACUACCUGUGAAAAUGUCCUGGGACACAGAUCUAGAAUAAUUUUGGCAGAAAGCUGAAGACACUCUGGGCAGAGCAGCUGUUGGACACCUGCAUGCCCCCUUUAUUUAAGAGCCUUGACAAGAGACUUGUUGGUAGAGAUUUGUUAUGAGAGGUCACAGGGGCAAAAAAAUGACCAGCUGGUGACACAAGGUCAUGCCCUGAAUUCGACAAACCUAAUCAGAACCAGACACUCUCCUUUCCCUUCACGGCUUAAACUGCUUCAGCAGGAAUUUAGAACAGACAAAAAGAAAUCUGUUCUGAUUGAAAUGAUUGCAAGACAAAGAGAUGGGUCACCAGGAUGGUUUUGGAGUGUUCUUUCCUUGAAUGCUAAAAAUAGAGUUGAUACUCAAGGACUGCCUGAAUCACAAACUCAUAGACCAUCAUGGUGGGAGAUAGCCUGAGAAGUGAUUGGAUAGAAGUUUCCAGAUUUCUUUCUAGCCUUAUGCAGCACAGGAUGACCUCAAUCUCAUCAUGAAGCUGACAGUGGCCUUGGAUUCCUGAUGCUUUUGUCUCUACUUCCCAAGUUCUGGUGUUAUAUCAUGACUGUAAUUAUUAAUGCAUUCUCUAUAGACAAUUAAAACUAUUAGAAUAGCCAAUAAAAAUAAUACUCAUUUUCAAUGUUUAGGAAUCAGGUUAUGAAUUAAUUUAUAGUUUUUGUCAAAGGCAGGAUUGGUCCUGGUGUGGUGCAGCAGGAUUUCUGGAAGAGGACGGCUGGAUGUGCAGACCAUGCUCAGAUCCAGCACCACAGCUCUGCUUUUGUUCUGUCCUUGUUGGAUGGACACACAGCGUGAGGCCUCAUCUCCUCUGACAGUCACAUUUGUUCUGGGAACACAGUGGGUUAAGGAUGGGCUACCUGCCCUCUUACUGAGCAAUGAGGCAGAGCCCUGUGUGAAAGGCCAGACUGUGGAGUGUGACAAAGAACAGAAGCAUAUCCAUGAGGGAAUGUCUCUUUGGUUAGAGGAGGCUAGCAGGAGGAGCAGCAUCUUCUAAGGUGCUUUGGGUUCUGGGACAGGGACUCUAACUUAAUAGAUGCAAGGAACCUGGGACCCUCUCUGCUGACAUGUCUUAUCUACCAGACUCUGCUGGACUUUACUGCUGCUCAAACAAACAACCUGUCCUGUCUGAGCAAUCACAUUUUUGGUGACUCUUCGUUAACUGCUUGUGUUACUGAAUAACUGGACCUAAAAUAUCACCAGUUUCAUUUUCCUAGACUCAAGCCAUUUGGCCUCAACCACAAAUUUGUAAUGUUUAUACUUGACUAUAUAUACUUAAUUUACUUUCUAUCCAAUGUAGUUCUUUUACUUAGGCAGACUUUACUCUAGCCUUGCCUAAUGAUAUCUAUCUGUACAGUUUCCACUUGAAAGUUAUGGGUGUAUUUUUCUAGGUUAUAUUUACAUAGAUGCACAGUUAUUAAAAUAAAAUGUUAAUUUAUUUUCCUCUUAAUUGGAUAAACCAAGUUGACUCAAAACCUAAUUCAAUUUACUGAGGCCCCAUGUGGUGCAGAUGAAAUUACAACCAAUACCAUGUCCUGUUAAAAAUUAAAAAAAAUUUUCCAUGC
ensembl:antisense Gm37459 predicted gene, 37459